UUGCAUGACAAUGCCCGUGUGCAUACUGUUGCCCACACUGCUGAAACGCUCCAGAAAUGCAAAUUUGAAGUACUGGCUCAUCCUCCAUAUAGUCCCGAUCUUGCCCCUUCUGACUAUUACUUGUUUGGUCCAUUUAAACAGGCAUUAAGGGCCGUCGAUUUCCUCGGACGAAGCAGUGAAAGAAGCGGUGCAUUCCUGGCUCGCAGCUCAACUGAGAACCUUCUUUUAUGAGGGCAUCAGGAAGCUUGUACAAUGAUGGACCAAGUGCAUUGAAACACAAGGAGACUAUGUCGAAAAAUGAUGUUCUUGUUCCCCAAUAUAUGGCAAUGAAAAUUUUCAACAGGCUAAAAGAAAAGAACAUUCCCAAUGUAACACGAGGUCCACUGUAAAAGAAGCUACAGGAUACUCUGAUACAGAAAUAUUACUACAGGAUGGAAGAGUUCUUGAAAGACUAAAUGAAAAUUUAUGUUGGGUGUCAUUGAUCAUUAGCCUUAUUACAUAAGACUAACCAUUCAUUUUAAGAGCAAAAAUUAUUAACUUUAGGGUACUGCUUUGUCUAAUCAGCUGUAAUUUUAUAUAAGUGAAUUGUAUUAGUAAUUUUUGACAUAUCUCCUGUAUUCUACUCAGAUGAUUGAUAAGUGUGUGUCAUGUUGUGAGACAAAUAAAUUGCAAUUCAUUAUUUA